GUGAGGAAUUUUCCGCAAUGGGCGAAAGCCUGACGGAGCAAUGCCGCGUGAAGGAUGAAGGCCUAUGGGUUGUAAACUUCUUUUCUUAGAGAAGAAUAUUGACGGUAUCUGAGGAAUAAGCAUCGGCUAACUCUGUGCCAGCAGCCGCGGUAAGACAGAGGAUGCAAGCGUUCUACGGAAUGAUUGGGCGUAAAGCGUCUGUAGGUGGCUUCAAAAGUCUCCUGUCAAAUAUCAGGGCUUAACCCUGGGCUGGCAGGAGAAACUCUGAGGCUAGAGUUUGGUAGGGGCGGAGGGAAUUCCCGGUGGAGCGGUGAAAUGCGGAGAGAUCGGGAGGAACACCAAAGGCGAAAGCACUCUGCUGGGCCACAACUGACACUGAGAGACGAAAGCGAGGGGAGCAAAAGGGAUUAGAAACCCUUGUAGUCC
rnacentral:rRNA from 1 species